rnacentral:rRNA from 1 species
GACGAACGCUGGCGGCGUGCUUAACACAUGCAAGUCGAACGGAAAGGCCCUGCUUUUUUGCGGUGCUCGAGUGGCGAACGGGUACGUAACACGUGAGUAACCUGCCCUUGACUUUGGGAUAACUUCAGGAAACUGGGGCUAAUACCGGAUCGGAUCUCCUGCUGCAUGGUGGGGGUUGGAAAGUUUCGGCGGUUGGGGAUGGACUGGCGGCUUAUCAGCUUGCUGGUGGGGUAGUGGCUUACCAAGGCUUUGACGGGUAGCCGGCCUGAGAGGGUGACCGGCCACAUGGGGACUGAGAUACGGACCAGACUCCUACGGGAGGCAGCAGUGGGGAGUAUUGCACAAUGGGCGGAAGCCUGAUGCAGCGACGCCGCGUGCGGGAUGACGGCCUUCGGGUUGUAAACCGCUUUAGCUUGUGACGAAGCGGUAGUGACGGUAAUGGGUAAAGAAGCACCGGCUAACUACGUG